UGUCCGGUGGCCCAACCAACAGAGGCGUCUGUUUCAAACACAGAAGGUUGUGGGUGCAAUCCUACCCGGAGUACCA
rnacentral:tRNA from 1 species